CCAAACACUGUGAAAAAGAGAGUAUGCAUAAAGGAAUGAUACAGAGAGUUCCGGCUGGUGAAAGGGAACGCAGGAGGUUAUGCAGAAGAUGGCUUUGGAGUGGCAUUGCCGAACGAUGUUUUCCGGCCCGGCGAAGACCGAGGAUGCGGAAAUACGAACAGGCAGUGACGGGUUCGCCUGUUACAGCGAAAAGUAUAUGAUACUUACCAAGGUCCUUUUUGUGAAAAAAGGGCGAAAAGAAGUGGUACCGCGGAAAACCGCCUUCUGA
rnacentral:ncRNA from 1 species